rnacentral:rRNA from 1 species
GAUGAACGCUGGCGGCGUGCCUAAUACAUGCAAGUCGAGCGAACAGACGAGGCGCUUGCUCCUCUGACGUUAGCGGCGGACGGGUGAGUAACACGUGGAUAACCUACCUAUAAGACUGGGAUAACUUCGGGAAACCGGAGCUAAUACCGGAUAAUAUAUUGAACCGCAUGGUUCAAUAGUGAAAGACGGUUUUGCUGUCACUUAUAGAUGGAUCCGCGCCGCAUUAGCUAGUUGGUAAGGUAACGGCUUACCAAGGCGACGAUGCGUAGCCGACCUGAGAGGGUGAUCGGCCACACUGGAACUGAGACACGGUCCAGACUCCUACGGGAGGCAGCAGUAGGGAAUCUUCCGCAAUGGGCGAAAGCCUGACGGAGCAACGCCGCGUGAGUGAUGAAGGUCUUCGGAUCGUAAAACUCUGUUAUUAGGGAAGAACAAAUGUGUAAGUAACUAUGCACGUCUUGACGGUACCUAAUCAGAAAGCCACGGCUAACUACGUG